AAGAAACAACGGUCUCAGCUACUGUCCAGAAUUUCCAUGGUGCAGAGCAGGACGGGGCAUCUCAGUUGGAGCCCUGCUGACUCCCUAAAUUGAAGAGAGAAAGCUGAGAGCCCAGGGAGGCCACAGUGGCUGGAGUUUGCAGAACAGAGUCCUGCAGAACAGAGUCCGGCAGAGGAGAGAGCUUGGUAGAGAAUGCUGGAGGAUGGCCACAUGCCUAGCAGUUUUCAGCAGAGCAGUGGUGAUCACGUGUACAUGGAGACUAAUUAUGGCCGGGAAAUGACAAGUGAGGUGAAAGUCAUAACAAUAAAUUGAAGCACGCGGAGAGCGCUCUGUUACCUGCCACGGGAGGUCCUGUAGAUCCGGUGCACGCUUCUCAGAGGUCAGCACCCCGCAGGCACACUGGUCUGCAUUUGCGGCAGCAACAUGAGAAUAAAAAUCAGCGCCUUCUCAGCGAAUAUCGGACUCUGUCUAUGGUGUUAACCGUUGCAUAAUUCCGUCUAUGGUACUAACCAUUAUAAUCUUAUCCUUAAUGCUGAUGAAUGUGCAGUAAUUCACAGACACACAGACUGGAGUUAAACCACCCCUCACAGCACUCAUGGUUUAGCUCAGAGUGGUCCGAGCAAGCACUAGUGACAGAAACUGCACUUUCUAGCAUGGCCAUUGCUCCAGCGUGGAGACGCGGACCACCUUCUGAGUCGUGGCAACUGCUUAUCACAAAUCCGCGGGCUUCACCCAGUACUACAGAAGGAAGGAGGAUGUGGACGGGGUCGCUGGCAUUGGAAGCUGGAGGCCGCUGUGGUCUGAGCACUCACCGUGGGGCACACACUGUUUGUGGUCCUCACCAAGCCUGUAGCCCUGAGCACAGCUGCAUGUGUAGGAUUCCUGUCCUGGGAGGCAGAAGUGUUGACACCCAUCAGUCCGCUCUGGGUGACAUUCAUUUUUAGCUGAAAAGGAAAAAAAAAAAAGGAAAUGCUAGCUUGGAAAUAGUCAUUUUAUCACAGCCUUGCACACAGUUCUGUGUGUUGGUCCAUGUUCAUUUUAUCACAGCCUUGCACACAAGAGUUCUGGUGUGUUGGUCCAUGUGUUCUCAUUCUCUUCAGAUCGUUGUCCUCUGUGUCAGUGUUUCCCACAUGUCCGUAUUUCAGGAAUGUGCAUGUAGAACAAAGACUCCGUGAGUGAGGCCGGGCGCGGUGGCUCAUGCCUGUAAUCCCAGCACUUUGGGAGGCCGAGGUGGGCGGAUCACGAGGUCAGGAGAUCAAGACCAGCCUGGCCAACAUGGUGAAACCCCAUCUCUACUAAAAAUACAAAAAUUAGCCAGGCGUGGUGGCGCGUGCCUGUAGUCCCAGUUACUCGGGAGGCUGAGGCAGGAGAAUCACUUGAACCCAGGAGGCAAAAGGUUGCAGUGAGCUGACAUCGCGUCACUGCACUCCAGCCUGGCGACAGAGCGAG
rnacentral:lncRNA from 10 species